AUCAGCGGAGGAAAAGAAACUAACAAGGAUUCCCCUAGUAACGGCGAGUGAAGUGGGAAAAGCUCAACUUUGUAAUCUGGCAGCUUCGCUGUCCGAGUUGUAGUCUCGAGAAAUGUUUUCCGCGCUGGCAUGUGUAUGAGUCUGUUGGAAUACAGCGUCAUAGAGGGUGAGAACCCCGUUCAUGACACAUCUCCCAGUGCUUUGUGAUACAUUUUCGAUGAGUCGAGUUGUUUGGGAAUGCAGCUCAAAAUGGGUGGUAAAUUCCAUCUAAAGCUAAAUAUUGGCGAGAGACCGAUAGCAAACAAGUACCGUGAGGGAAAGAUGAAAAGCACUUUGGAAAGAGAGUUAAAAGUACGUGAAAUUGUUGAAAGGGAAACGCUUGAAGUCAGACGUGCGCAGUGCGAUUCAGCUCUAUUUCGGUAGAGUGUAUUUCGUGCUAUUGCAGGCCAGCAUCGGUUUUGCGAGCCGGAUAAAGGUUAGUAGAAGGUAGCAUCUUCGGAUGUGUUAUAGCUUCUAACUGAAUACGGAUUGCGAGACCGAGGGACGCAGCACGGCGCAAGCCAGAAGAUUCGUCUUCUUCGUGCUUAGGAUGCUAGUGAARUGGCUUUAAACGACCCGUCUUGAAA
rnacentral:rRNA from 1 species